AUCGCUUCUUGGCCUUUUGGCUAAGAUCAAGUGUACUUCUUUAUAUAUUUAAAAUGAUUAGUCAAGACUUAUUGUAUAUAAACUGUGGUUAGGGUCACAGUCAUUUUUGUACAGUCAUCAAGAAAUUAACACUAAAUUCUGGGAAACUGCCUUCCU
ensembl:snRNA U2 U2 spliceosomal RNA